UACGUAGGGUGCGAGCGUUGUCCGGAAUUACUGGGCGUAAAGAGCUCGUAGGUGGUUUGUCGCGUUGUUCGUGAAAACCUGAGGCUUAACCUUGGGCGUGCGGGCGAUACGGGCAGACUGGAGUACUGCAGGGGAGACUGGAAUUCCUGGUGUAGCGGUGAAAUGCGCAGAUAUCAGGAGGAACACCGGUGGCGAAGGCGGUUCUCUGGGCAUGACCUGACGCUGAGGAGCGAAAGCGUGGGGAGCGAACAGG
rnacentral:rRNA from 1 species